rnacentral:rRNA from 1 species
AAAUUGAAGAGUUUGAUCAUGGCUCAGAUUGAACGCUGGCGGCAGGCCUAACACAUGCAAGUCGAACGGUAACAGGAAGCAGCUUGCUGCUUUGCUGACGAGUGGCGGACGGGUGAGUAAUGUCUGGGAAACUGCCUGAUGGAGGGGGAUAACUACUGGAAACGGUAGCUAAUACCGCAUAAUGUCGCAAGACCAAAGAGGGGGACCUUCGGGCCUCUUGCCAUCGGAUGUGCCCAGAUGGGAUUAGCUAGUAGGUGGGGUAAA